UUUAAGUUCAUCUUGUUCUCUGUUCAGUUGAAGUUGAAGUGCCACACUGGUCCGGACUGAGAGCCACCAUAUUAUUGUCCCUAACGUGUCGCUUUGAGAUUGGUCAGGUUUUUUUUUUGCUGGAUUGUUCCUGAGGUUGGAUUCCUCCUGUGAUUUUGAUGGCGAACCUUCUCACCUGGACUUAGAAAGAACUGGAUUCCUGGAUUCCUUCUUUUCCAUUUGGAGUCCUGCUGCACCCCGCGGUGUUGUAGGCCUGUACCUCCCACAUCUUCACACACAAUUGGUUAUGAGUGAGACCACUGACUGACAUUUUUCAUUUAUUGUUUAAUCCUAGAAUUUCUGACCUUACCUUUUGGACCAGUUUUUAUUUGAAACUUUAUAACCAACUGCUGUGUAGGAAAUUCUCCUCAUGUGAACGGUGUUGAGUUGAACCUAAUUGGAACUGAAAUUGAUUAGUCUGUUGCCUAUUACGAUUUAGAAUUCAGAUUACCAGGGUGCACCCAAAAUAUUCAAAACUGAGAACUAGCACUUGGCCAAGUAUUUGUAUUAUUUUUUGUAUUUUAUUGUGUGUAAUUUUAUUUUCAUAAU